AUGUUCCCUCUGGUUUAUCACCUUAUUGAGUUGGGGUUGCUUCUACCAGUGGCAACGGCAUCGGUUGAAAGGGCCUUCUCAGCAAUGGAGAUCAUCAAGACCGAUUUGCGCAGCAAGAUGUCCAAUGGUUGGCUUGAUGACUUAAUGGUGUGCUACACAGAGAGAGAGAGAGAGAGAGAGAGAGAGAGAGAGAGAGAUUUAAAGGACUUGAUCUUGCUAAAAUGA
rnacentral:rRNA from 1 species